rnacentral:rRNA from 1 species
AAAGUGGCGGACGGGUGCGUAACACGUGGGUAAUCUACCUUCCGGCGGGGGAUAACAGUCCGAAAGGAUUGCUAAUACCGCGUACGUCAGCGGGGUCUACGGACCCUGUUGGGAAAGAUGGCCUCUCCUUGGAAGCUGUCACCGGAAGAUGAGCCUGCGGCCCAUCAGCUAGUUGGUGAGGUAAUGGCUCACCAAGGCUUAGACGGGUAGCUGGUCUGAGAGGAUGAUCAGCCACACUGGGACUGCGACACGGCCCAGACUCCUACGGGAGGCAGCAGUGGGGAAUAUUGGGCAAUGGGCGAAAGCCUGACCCAGCCACGCCGCGUGAGUGAUGAAGGCCUUCGGGUCGUAAAGCUCUGUGGGGAGGGACGAAUAAGUGCCGUGCUAACACCACGGCGCCCUGACGGUACCUCCUUAGCAAGCACCGGCUAACCAUGUGCCAGCAGCCGCGGUAA